GACGAACGCUGGCGGCGUGCUUAACACAUGCAAGUCGAACGGAAAGGCCCUGCUUGCGGGGUGCUCGAGUGGCGAACGGGUGAGUAACACGUGGGUGAUCUGCCCCUUACUUUGGGAUAAGCCUGGGAAACUGGGUCUAAUACUGGAUAGGACCAUGCUGUAGGUGGUGUGGUGGAAAGAUUAGUUUCGGUAAGGGAUGAGCUCGCGGCCUAUCAGCUUGUUGGUGGGGUAAUGGCCUACCAAGGCGUCGACGGGUAGCCGGCCUGAGAGGGUGGACGGCCACAUUGGGACUGAGAUACGGCCCAGACUCCUACGGGAGGCAGCAGUGGGGAAUAUUGCACAAUGGGCGCAAGCCUGAUGCAGCGACGCCGCGUGGGGGAUGACGGCCUUCGGGUUGUAAACUCCUUUCAGCCAUGACGAAGCCCUUGUGGUGACGGUAGUGGUAGAAGAAGCACCGGCUAACUACGUG
rnacentral:rRNA from 1 species